CACAUAGCCAGGCAUGUCUGACUCCCUAUACUUACUGACAGCGAAUGUAUAGCUCCUCCCAGCACAUUAUAAAUCUAAUAAGCCCAGUGUUCUUCUAAACUGGAAAUCAGGAAGGAGAGGGGAGAACUGCUAACAAGGUGAGGGGAUGGGGUGAUUGGAGGGCUACAUAUUAAACAGAUAAAAAGACAGUUCAUCAUUUUGUUACACUGUAUGUUGAGACAGGCUAGUGAGACUAAUACAGAUACGUUCCCAGUGUAGCUAAAAUAAUAUAUAAUACCAUUCUCUGUCUUAGUACUAUGCCAGGAUCGAAUAGGAAAAGUAGAAACAGACAAAAAGGAAGACAGGCACUCCAGGUGCUCUAUCUAAAGCUCACUUUGGUCUCAAUAAUAUCUAAAUUCUUAUAUGGCACAGUUACAAUGAGUGCAUGGCAACGUUUCAUGUGAAGCUUUUGGCUUGACAAAGUUAGCAUGGUUUGAGACGUUGUCUGGACAACAGUGUGAUGGGAUUUUUUUAUUUUUUUUUACUAUGGAUGUCAGACAGGCUCUCGGUACUUUACACAGGACUAUAUACAUAAUAUGGUGGAACACUGUAAUAAACAAAAUUGCUCUUCAGCAAUAACCAGGUUAUUUACUAAAUUUUUUGUGAAUUAAAUCUGCAUCGGAAUACUGAAGUAAAACUAAAGCUUUCAUUUUGGCUUCUGGAUAUAUUCUGAGUUUUGUGAGCAAUGCUGUACGUGUUUUAAGUUAAAUCUACUUUUUUACCCUGAAUUAUUGAGGGGACUACGCAGUAGGAACAGCGUGAAAUAGGUAAAUGAGCGAAUACUUUACAGCGGAGAACACCUUUUAUAAUACAAAUAAAGACUUGUUUUUAAAGGAAAGAAGGUAGAAAGAAAACUAAUGCUUUUUGCGGUUUAUUCACUAUACUCUCUGAAUUUUAGUGUAUUCAAGCAGAACUGUCACUUCGCUAGAAUUUACACCAGUGAAUACAAGAUUGAAAAUCACCUAUAACUUAUGUUAAUGUUUUUCAUGUGAUGCACUCUUUUCUUUUAAUAUUUUUGAAUAUUUUGCAUGAAUGAUCCCGUAGUGUUAGGACUGGGUGACUCCUAAACGUACAAAAUCAGGGUUUCGAUGAAAAAAGUAAUGCCUGGGUGAUCCUAGUAAUCCCACUAUUAGGGACGAUGAGCGUUGAUUCACUUGUAAGCUAUACUAAGAGGCCUUUCUCAAAUAAGAGUUUCAACUUACUCCAGAUUGACAUUUAUGCAACAUAUCUCCUGCAGCCCUGCCCUUUCCAGUCUGUGCACCUGCCUAACCCACCCUGGAUUCAUUGUACUUAAUCAACUCUCUUUUGAAGUUAACAUUUUAUUUCAUUAUUUAUUUUAUUUUAUAUAAUUUUUAACAGGAAGGUUUCAUAAUAAAUUCUCAUUUUUCAACUGAGGGUUAUUCACUAAAGUGUGAAUUUCAACUUUAAGUACAAAAUAACUAAAGUGGAAAAAUUCUAUAUAAGCCAACUCUGCUUUUUAGUUUGGCUACUGUGGCCUUAAAACUUAAAUUCACUUUGAAUUCUCAAUUUAGUAAACCCUCUGUGUAUAAAUGGUUUGAGUUUGAAUGCCUGUUUAUUCAAGUACUUAUUGAUAUUUUGCAAGAGAUCGAUGUUAAUCUCUAAAGUGAGAAUUCAAAUUUUAAGCCCAAAAUAGCUGAACUGGAAGCAUAGCUGAAUUAGAGAAUUUUUAUGGUUUGACCUUAAAUUUAAAAUUCACCUUGUAUUCACUUGAAUUCUCACUGUAGUGAAAAAGUGUUUGUAAGAGUAUGAAUGCAAAUGGAACAAGGAAACCAAUCUUAACAUACCAGAAAAAGAUAAGAAAAAUAUAGAAAUUUCACUAAAGUGUAAAUUGAAAAGGAAUUGUACAUUUUAAAAUGGCUAAAUUAAAAACCAUUCUCUGUAUCAAUUUGACUAUUAUUGGCCAAGAAUUUCAAAUUCGCUUUGAAUUCCUGACAAUUACUUUAGUUUUUAAACUAUAUGGUAUUUCUUUAAAUAUUUUCAAAUUUUUUCUUACUGCCAACAAGCUGUCACAAAUAAGAUGACUAUGAGGUAGAAAACCUCAACAAAAUGUGGACAUUUAUUUAGUUGUUGUUUUUGGCAUUUAUAUAGCGCCAUGUUAUUUCACAGUGCCUUACGAUAUUAAAAAGGGUAAUAUUUAACAAUAAAUGAGACAAUUACAAAAUGUUUCAGGAACAAUAGGUUGAUGAGGACCCAGUUCAAACAAGUUUACAAUCUAGAGGCGGUGGAUUAUAAACACACAAUAAGGGGAUCGCAACUAAGCAACAAGGUGGGAAUGUAGAUGAAGGUCACCCUUUAAGAUUGAAUAAGAUACAUGUUUGUGAAAUAUAAGUUACUCUGGGAGGCCAUAAGCUUUUCUGAAGAGGUGGGUUUUGAAGCACUUAAAUGAUUGAAGACUAGGGGAGAGUCUGUUACGGGUAGGCAGACUGUUCCAAAGGCAGGGCCGGAUUAAGAGCACAGUGGGCCUGGUGCUGACAAUUAUGAUGGGCCUAAUUACAGAAUCAUAUCGACCAAAAACAUUAAAAUAAUCAUACCUCCCAAGCGUCAUGUAUCUGAUGGAGAUGGUGCUGGAGGGAAACUCUUAGGAUGCAGCUAUAAGAAAACACAUACCCUAUGCUAAUUUCUCUCUAAUUUAUGCUUUCAUCUUUCAAGUAAAUCCAUAACCCCUAACAGCAGUGUCCAAUGAAGCAGGAAGUCAAUGGGCGGGGUAAAAGGGUGGGCCACUGGCGCGAAUCACGUGACAAGACCUGCCAAAAGGGGCGUACAUGCCCAAAAAGGGGGCAUGUUUGUCCAAAGAAUUGGAAGGUCAGCCUGGCAUGAAUGCAUGUCAGACUGCCCGCCAAUCCUGCAGGCUGUCCAACUAAGGGCAUACUAUGCAGGCAGCACCUUACGCUUUACAUAAAUGCAUCUAAUGAUGCACUCACUCCAUUCUUUCUAAGGACUGUCCCCUAGCACUCGCUGGUCCACUUGUCUCCUUACCUUCUUACUAGCAGGCAGAAGUUCCUGGUAUAGUCUGAGACAGAGAAAAGGUGUCUGUAGUGAGUGUAGAAGAAAGGGGACAUGCCACAGUGUUAGAGAGACCAACGUCUGCAUUACCUAAACUAACUUUAAUGUCAGCCAGUGCACACAAGUUUUGUUCCCAUACAUCCCUCUUAAGCUUCCAAACUUAAAGGGACACUAUAGUCACCAGAACAACUACAGCUUAUUGUAUUUGUUCUGGUAAGUAGAAUCAUUCCAUUCAGGCUUUUUGCAGUAAACACUGUCUUUUCAGAGAAAAUAACUCCACUGGCCGCUCCUUAGAUGGCUGCUAGAGGUGCUUCCUGGGGCAGCACUGCCUAGUGUGCAGCACUGCCAUUCAGUGUCUCCACCCUCUGCAUGCAGACACUGAACUUUCCUCAUAAAGAUGCAUUGAUUCAAUUUAUCUUUAUGAGGAGAUGCUGAUUGGCCAGGGCUAUGUUGGACUUGUGCUGGCUCUGCCCCUGAUCUGCCUAGUUGACAGUCUCAGCGAAUCCUAUGGGGAAAUAUUGUAAUUUGCUCAGACCACCACUUCCGAGCCAGCAGCUGCAGAAUUGAAUACAAGUAAUAUUUUACUAUAUUUAGGGAGGGAAGAAGGGGCCAGGGUGGUGGUUUUAACAUAAUGGGAUAAGAAAUACAUGAUGGUGUUCCUGACACUAUAGUGCUCCUUUAAGCAAGAGUAUGUGAAGAGUAGUUAAGGUUGCCACCUUUCUUGGAAAAAAAUACCAGCCUUAAUCAUUUGUAUAAUUAAUUAGUUAUGACAUCACAUGAUGUAAAUCACAAGGAGUGACAUCAGAGAAAAUUCUGUAAAAUCACCAACAAACUACUCACAGUUUGAUUCUGCUGUAUAGAUGGAUUGCUCCCAGUGUCUCCCUGUCUCCCAGUGUCUCAGUCUCACAAGUCACCCUGUGUCUCAGUGUCCCUAUGUAUCACAGUGUCAGUGUCCCCAUGUCACCCAGUGUCCCAAUGUCUCAGUGUGUCCCCAUGUCACUAGGAUACUGGGGACACUGAGAGACAUGGGGACACUAAGAGACCCGGGAACACAGAGACAUGGGGACACUGGGAAACAUGGGGACACUGAGACAUUUAGGGAAUCUGGGAGAAAUGGGGACACUGAGACACUAGGGACACAGACACUGGGAGACAUGGGGACACUGAAACAUUUGGGGACACUAAGACACUAGGGACACAGACAUGGGAACACAGACACUGGGAGACUAGGGGGGAGACUAGGGGACACUGGCUGGGAGACAGACACUUGGGGACACUGGGAGACAUGGGGACAGUUGUGGACAUAGACAUGUGGACACUGGGACAUAUAGGGACACUGGGAGACAUGGGGACACCAGGCACACUGAGACACUAAGAACACAGACACUGGGAGGCAUGGAGACACUGAAACAUUUGGGAACACUAAGACACUAGGGACACAGACACUGGGAGACUAGGGGAUACUGGGAGACUAGGGGAUACUGGGAGACUAGGGGACACUGGCUGGGAGACAGAUACUUGGGGAGACAUGGGGACAGUUGUGGACACAUGGGGACACUAGGCACACUGAGAGACAUGGGACACAGACACUGGCAGACUUGGGGACACUGAGACACUAGGGACACUGGCUGGGGGACAUAGUGUCUCCGUGUCCCAAUGUCUCCCAAUGUCCCUAUGUCUCACAGCAUCCCCAUGUGUCUCAGCAUCCCCAUGUGUCCCCUAGUGUCUCAGUGUCCCCAUGUUUUCCAGUGUCCCCAAGUGUCUGUGUCCCCAGGUCUCAGUGUCUGUGUCCCCAUGUGUCCUAGUGUCUCAGUGUCCCCUAGUGUCUGUGUUCCCAUGUGUCCCCUAGUGUCUGUGUCCCCAUGUCCCCAAGUGUCUCAGUGUCCCCUAGUGUCCCCAUGUUUUGAAGUGUCCACAAGUGUCUCAGUGUUCCCAGGUCUCCCAGUGUCUGUGUCCUAGUGUUUCAGUGUCCCCUAGUGUAUGUGUCAUCAUGUGUCCCCUGGUGUCUGUGUCCCCUAGUGUCUCAGUGUCCCCAUGUGUCCCUGCUGCCUUCCCCCCAUCCCUCACUUACCUGAGCUGUACAGCUGCUGUCUGGACUCUCUGUGCUGUGUUGCUGCUCCCCCAUGGAUCAGUGAGUAGUAGAGAGAGGCAGGGAUAUUCUGUAACUUCCUAUCCCUGCCUGUCCCCACACACAGUGACCCCUACUGGCCGGUGCUGGUAUUGCAGAGUAAUUUCCAUUUAUUCUGAGAAAAUUACCUGCAUUUGUAUUGCUGGUAUUACUGCAAUACCGGCACGGCCAGGCAGCCUCAAAUACCGCCUGUGCCAUUAAAAUACCAGUCAGGUGGCAAACCUAAGAUUAGUGUGUAAAAAAAAAAAAAAAUUUUUUUUUUUUUUUUAAAUGGGCCUAUUCCAUGGGCCUGGGCCUGGAGCUGCAGCUCCAUCAGCCCCUAUGUUAAUCCGGCCCUGUCCAAAGGAAAGGAACUACCUGCAAGAAUGGCUGCAUGCGUGAGUUAGCAGUAAGGGUGCGAGCAGCAGACAGGAGAAGGGUACCGACAGAGAAGGGGCAUAACUUUGAAUUAGUGAAAAAAUAUAAGUGGGGCUAGAGUUGUUUAGAGCUUUUAUAGGUAAGGGUUAGUAUUGUGAAUUAACUCCUAUAGGGUACAAGAAGCCAAUGUAAGGAUUAAAGGACCACUAUAGGCACCCAGACCACUUCAGCUUAAUGAAGUGGUCUGGGUGCCAGGUCCACCUAGGAUUAGCCCUUUCUGCUGUAAACAUAGCAGUUUCAGAGAAACUGCUAUGUUUACAUUAGGGUUAAUCCAGCCUCUAGUGGCUGUCUCAUUGACAUCCGCCAGAGGUGCUUCCGCGCUUCUCACUGUGAUUUUCACAGUGAGAAGACGCCAGCGUCCAUAGGAAAGCAUUGAGAAUGCUUUCCUAUGAGACUGGCUGAAUGUGCGCGCGGCAACAAUGCGUAUUCAGUCGGUGACGUCCAAAGGAGGAGGAGAAUUCCCAGCAUCGAGGGAGCCCGGCGCUGGAAAAAGGUGUUUAUCCCCUUCCUCUCCAUCCAGCCCGGCGGGAGUGGGACCCUGAGGGUGGGGGCACCCUCAUGGCACUAUAGUGGUCCUUUAACAAAGCAAUGAGAGGAGCAAUAGGAGAGAAUAAUCAGCCUGGCGGCAGCAUUCUAACAAAGCUGUAACAUUUCUGGGGAGACCAAUUAGGAGAGAAUGAAAGUAAUAAAUGUAAGACCUUACUAGAGCAUGAACAAGCUCCUUAGCAGCAUCUUGUGUAAGAAAGGGACGGACUCCCAAUAGUUGGAAAUGAAAGACUGGUCAAGUGAUGGCUUUUUAAGGACAGGUACGAUAGUAGCAUGUUUAAGAGGAGUGGGGACAAUGUCAGAAGAAAGAGCGCAGUUAAGGAUGGCACAAGACAAGGGAAUAGAGAUCUGAUAAGGUGAGAUGGGACGAUAUCAAGCGGACAAGUGGUGGGGCAAGAGAAAAGGGUACAUCCAGCCAUCUCCUGUUCUGUAGCAGGGAGAAGGCCUGAAGGGUAGGAGAGGAAGGCACAGUUCAAACAUGGAUGAGUGAGUAGCGAAGGAGGGGGGUUCUUUCCUUAACUGAUGAAUCUUGUCUGUAAGAGGGCAAGCAAAUCUUUCGCUGAAAACUUACUUUGGGGGGGUAGCCACAAUAGGGUGAAGAAGAGAGUUGAAGGUAUGACAGACUCCUGAGAUUGUGGGGGCAUAAACCGAUAAGAGAGAAAAUGCAUGAUUGUUUAGCCAGGAAGAGGGCUGUGCUGUAUAAAUUUAGAAUGGAGAAAGUCUGACAAGGUGCAAGUUAAACAUGGAUUAUUAUUGUUCCAGCAGCUAUUCAAUAAACUGGAAAUUUUGAAAGUGAAAUGCAAAUUUCACACCAACAUAGCCAAGCUGGCCCCAGCACUGGAUACAAAGAGUUCUAUGUACAUUUACCCAUCGCAUUGACAUUUGUAGCUAUUACUGUGCACGACGGAAUGAGGUUUACUGGAAAGUGUAUAUAUAAAUACAAAAUGGAUGUUUAAACUAUAAAUUUGCAAGCUGGACCAUACUUGGAUACAAUUACCAGAUAUUUGCAGUAUGCAAUGAUACACUUAUUUUUUUUUUUAAUUCUUUUAUUUUGGUGUGCGCAGGAAUACAAAAAGCUUGCAAAUUCACAACAGGAGUCGCAAAUGUGUCGGAUUACAGCAGAGCGUAAUAGACAUUACAUUCACAAAUACUGCACAUUUGAUAUUGUAGCAUAUAAUGUUAUGUGGCAUUUUGAGAGUUCAGCACAAUUUUAUAGUGUAAUAAAGUGGUCAAGCUAGGCAAACAUGUCUAUGCUCAGGAGUUAAACGAAAUAUUUAAUAUAAUUAAUUUAAGUAUUUUAAAAUUAUAAAUUUAGCUAGCUGGGGUGGGUGGAAGUUAGUGGGGAAUUGGGGUAUUUGGUGUUAACGUUAAAGUUUUAAAAUAAGCUUUAAAAAGUUCAAAAUUAAGUUAAAAAAAGUUUUAAUAACGUUUAAGUAAAAAAUAAAAAAACACCCUCCUUUAGCCAGUCCAAAUAAUAAUUAACCCCUUCCCUACCAGUCGAUCACUGCCUACAGUGAUCAAAAUACAGAUCACAGUAUUAUACUGUGAUCUAAUUUUUUUUUUAACCCCUGAGGAUUAACUUUUUUAUUUAUUUUUUUUAACCCUCAGGGGUUCAAUUUAUUUAAUCCAUCUCUCAAAAUUCUACUGUGAAUACUGAAAAGGACAGGUAUCCUGUAUGGCACUGUACCUUCACGAAAUAGUGCCAAAGACAUACAAUGGGGGUGUCAUUUUACUCAGCAGAUGUAACUGAACACAAAAUAAAACUUUGUACAGGAAUAUCACACACCAGCUUUACAAAAUACACAUGAGAAUUUCUUUGUUAUAAGUUUGUGUGCCAAAAACCAAAAAAACCCACAAUUUUACUCCAAUAUUUAGCAGAGGGUGGCGGUGAAAUGGCGACAUGGAAAGUGUCAAAACAACCUUAGGUAAAUAGCCCGUGAUGUCUUCUUUAUAUAAAUAUAUACUUUUGUGUGGCAAUUUUGUUUUCUCAUAUGGCUAUUAAGCUUACAAGACCAACAUACCAAAUUCUAAAAUCGCUCCACAUUAAAAGUUUAUUUUACUCCUUCGGCUUUGUGACCUGUAACUACCAAAAAAAACUUAAAAUCCCAGACACAUUAUAUAUUCUGUAAAUCAGAACUAAAUGAAUUUAUUUUUAAUUAUUUCCUUAACUUGCACUAAUUGUGCACACAUUAUUAUUGCAAAAACACUGUUUGUUUGAUUCAUUGAAAUGUAUGUUAGCCAAAAAUCCAGACCUGCUAUAUUAUCCACAUCAUGAACUGUGUCAUUGUCACCUAAUCAGUGAUGCUAUGGGAGUAAACUUAGCAUUGUGUCAUUCUCUUCAUGUCCAAAUUGGAUAGUGUUAAAUUUUCUAUGAGUCCUAUUUGAGGGUGUUCGUCCUAGGCACAAGGGUAUACAAAAUGACAGACUGCAGUGACAGAUAUUCGCUCUGUGAGAAGCAAUACAAAAGGCACGGACAUUGCAUGGAAUUAUUAUUAUUAUUAUUAUUAUUAUUAUUAUUAUUAUUACCACCUUCUAGCCACUUGUAUGCCGUUAAAAGGCAAGUGACUAAGUCACACUGGUUGAAAAAGCAUAUUGGGGGAAGGGUAAGGGAUGACCAUGAAAAACAAUAAUAGAAUAACGAGCACUCACCUAGCUGUAAACUUUAGCACGGUCCAUGCAAGGGUGUAUGGACAAAGGCUGUAGCUGGAGUGUUGGUCAGGAUGAGUCACUGUUAAAGAGGAUCUUCUUUUAGUGAUACAAGGAUUGUUGGAGAUCUAUCUGAAAUUUCAUUGAGUGACCAAAAGUAUCACACAUGAAGGAAAGAGUUGAAAUCUCAAAUGUGCUGCCUUGCCUUGAUGCUUCCAUGAAUUUUAGUGCAUAUAAAAUCUCAUAGUAAAUUAUUUAUUUUGUAUAAAUUUGCACACUGAUAUAGCAUUGGUAUUGGAAUAUAUACUUAUUGUGUGUGCACGCACCAUCUAAAGAAGUUCUUUACAUCAAAGAAAAUGUGUGCUGGAGAUGAGGAGGACAUUGCUGUUUUAUGUGCAAUAUGGGGCUAUUAAAAGUGAUCCAUGGGGUGCCUGAAAGUGUUGUAAGAGGAAGUUGAACAGUCUGACUUUUUUUUUUUAUCACAAACAUAAGUGUUUGUGAUGUUUCUGAUUUGAAAACUGAAGAGUACCAGCUGGACAUUUGGGGGGAAGGGAACUUUUUCAGUCUGUAUUUUAUGUUCUUCAUUAAAUGUACCCGGACAUGUUUCCAAGCACCACAGUCACUCUCUUGCAGACCGCUCCUAUUAAUGUCUGGCUUCCUGGAAACACUGCUUCCUUUGUGUCAUUUAUGGCUCCGAGCCUUGGAGUUCAGGGCUGGUCUCACAUUUCCAAUAAAUUCUGUUACGUGUUGACUAUGCUUUAUUCGCAUUCAUUCCAAGCAAUAAUAUUUCAUUUUUAAAUAUUUUUUUUUCCCCCUUGUUUCCAGGUCUAUUUGACGAUGGCUGAAAAGGUCCUAGUAACGGGUGGUGCAGGGUACAUUGGGAGUCACUGUGUCCUGGAAAUGCUGGAGGCUGGAUACUAUCCAAUAGUAAUCGAUAACUUUCACAAUGCAGUCAGGGGUGAGUGUGUGUGUGGUUUUUAUUUAUUUAUUUUUUCCGCAUUUAAAUUUUUUUAUAUAUCUAUCCCAAUAAGGUUAAGGAAAAAUUGUGAUUGACAACACCUUCCACCUGAGGUCUGUGGAUAGUUAAUACAAUGUUAAAAAUCUGCUCACCAGUCAAGCCAUAAGACUUGUUUUUCCCACAGAAAUCACAAAUUUGCAGUGAUGUUACUACCGCAAAGGAUUCUGGGCAUAUCCAAAUUCAACAAAGAAUAACAUUUUUGCCUCAUUACAUUUUUUUUUUUUAGACAGUACCCGUCUGUGUAUUCUACUGCAAUUCCUGCAUCUCAAGCCUUGGUACAUUAGUCAUCAUCAAUGUUUUUUUUUCCUUUCUAAUCAAUCCACAUAUCUUAUUAUACUCUAUAAAACAUUGAUUUACCAAGAGAGAAAAAACACAUAAAUAGACUACAAACCCAAAGAUGGUGACAGUUCCCUCUCUAAUAGUCCUCUAUAAUAUUCCUAUAUUAAUAAUUGUUAGCUUUGUUGUUACUUUUACUUUAGUCUCCCUUUAUUUCCUAAUUUAAGCUGCUACAGCCAUCUUAUUUAGCCAUUUAUCUAUAUCAACAAUCUUUUUUUUUUUCUUCAGAUUUCUAUUUACACCUCCUUCCAUUUUUAAUUGUAGGAUUUGCUGUUUUUUUUACAAUUUCCCAGUUUGGUAAUAUCUUAGUUCUCCAUCUUCUAGAUAUUGAGAUCUUUGCUGCUAUUAGAGCAUGGGUGAAGAAAUAUUGCAGAUCCAAAUUGUAUUGGCUAAAGUUCAGGUGCAAUAUAAACAUUUCAGGAGAGAAGGGGAAUUUAGUUCCAGUUAUUGCUUGAAUUUUACUUAGAAACAAUUUCCAAAAUUUUUCCAUCAGGGGACAGCUCCACCAAAUGUGUACCGAAUCUCCUACCUCUUUGUCACACCUCCAGCAUAUGUCUGAUAUGUUCUGAUCUAUUUUAUUCAGGCGGCUAGGGACAAGAUAGUCUGUUUAUUAUUAUUAUUUUAAAAUGCAACUCCACUAAGUUUAAACAUUUAAUGUGUUUAGCAACUGUUAGCCAUGCUUUUUUCCCAUUUUUUUUAAAAAAUUUUUUUAAUCAAAUUUUUUUUAAUUUUCAAAUCUUUCUCCCAUUUCUCCGUGGCUGGGAAUGUAAGAUCUUCUUCCCCCUGUCUCAGUAUCGAGUUGCACUUUUUUAGUAGAUUUCUCAUAUCUUUUCCCCUUUAUUAAGUUGCUUAAUUUACACUUAACUUCCGAUUUUUCUUUAUCUAGUACUUUAUUUAAGUAGCUUUUCAUCCUUAUAUAAUUGUGUUUUUCACUUUCUGGAAGAGCAAAUUUUGUACAUAUUUGUUCAUAUGAUUUGAGAUUUGAUCCUGUCAUUAAAUCUUCUAUAGUUUGUACGCCUGCUUUGCUCCAAUUCUUUAAAUUUAGAUCAUCCAUGUUAUUUUCCAAUAUUAAGAUCGGUAAAGUGUUGUUGAUACGAUUUUUGAGUCCCAGAUUUUUCCUUAUCUUACUCCAUAAUUCUCUAAUAUCUUGUAACACCAUGCUUUCAGAACUUGGUUGACUAUGAUCAGUAUUCCUUUUUUGAGUGAACCAAAAGAAAGUUAACAGAUCUUUAUUGUUUGACAUUUCUUUUUCUACUGCAUACCAUCUUUCUAGUUUAGACUCUGUCUGUUGUGAAAUAAUACAGUGAAAAAGAAUACUCGCUUGGUGAUAC
rnacentral:lncRNA from 1 species